CGUUGAAACACCAGUUCCCGUACGAUCACCGAAGUUAAGCAACGUCGAUCCUGAUCAGUGCCUAGAUGAGUGACCGCCUAUCAGUAACAGGUGCUGUAAG